UACGUAGGCAGCAAGCGUUGUUCGGAAUUACUGGGCGUAAAGAGUGUGUAGGCGGUGUUCUAAGUCUGUUGUGAAAUCUCCCGGCUUAACUGGGAGGGUGCGGCGGAGACUGGAAUGCUAGAGUGUGGGAGAGGUAAGCGGAAUUCCUGGUGUAGCGGCGAAAUGCGUAGAUAUCAGGAGGAACACCAAUGGCGAAGGCAGCACUCUGGGACGUGACUGACGCUGAGACGCGAAAGCGUGGGGAGCAAACAGG
rnacentral:rRNA from 1 species